rnacentral:rRNA from 1 species
GUGAACGCUGGCGGUAGGCCUAACACAUGCAAGUCGAACGGCAGCACAGUAAGAGCUUGCUCUUACGGGUGGCGAGUGGCGGACGGGUGAGGAGUACAUCGGAAUCUACUUUUUCGUGGAGGAUAACGUAGGGAAACUUACGCUAAUACCGCAUACGACCUACGGGUGAAAGCAGGGGAUCUUCGGACCUUGCGCGAUUGAAUGAGCCGAUGUCGGAUUAGCUAGUUGGCGGGGUAAAGGCCCACCAAGGCGACGAUCCGUAGCUGGUCUGAGAGGAUGAUCAGCCACACUGGAACUGAGACACGGUCCAGACUCCUACGGGAGGCAGCAGUGGGGAAUAUUGGACAAUGGGCGCAAGCCUGAUCCAGCCAUACCGCGUGGGUGAAGAAGGCCUUCGGGUUGUAAAGCCCUUUUGUUGGGAAAGAAAAGCAGCAGGUUAAUACCCCGCUGUUCUGACGGUACCCAAAGAAUAAGCACCGGCUAACUUCGUG